rnacentral:rRNA from 1 species
GAUGAACGCUGGCGGCGUGCUUAACACAUGCAAGUCGAACGGAAAGGCUCCUGCUUGCCGGGGUACUCGAGUGGCGAACGGGUGAGUAACACGUGGGUGAUCUGCCCUGCACUUCGGGAUAAGCCUGGGAAACUGGGUCUAAUACCGGAUAGGACCACAUUUUGGAUGGUGUGGUGGAAAGUUUUUCGGUGUGGGAUGAGCUCGCGGCCUAUCAGCGUGUUGGUGGGGUAAUGGCAUACCAAGGCGUCGACGGGUAGCCGGCAUGAGAGGGUGUACGGCCACAUUGGGACUGAGAUACGGCCCAGACUCCUACGGGAGGCAGCAGUGGGGAAUAUUGCACAGUGGGAGCAAGCCUGAUGCAGCGACGCCGCGUGGGGGAUGACGGCCUUCGGGUUGUAAACUGCUUUCGCUAGAGACGAAGCGCAAGUGACGGUACCUGGAGAAGAAGCACCGGCUAACUACGUG